UAACUCUCAAUUUUGGAACUUCUCGAUGACUGAAUUUUUUAUAGGUUUGAUAUUUCAGAGUAAAGAUGAGCUAAAGAGAACUGUUGAUUUUUAUCACAUUCAGAAGUAUCGGACAUACAAUGUAGUCCAAUCACAUUCAAAGUUAUGGUCCAUACGAUGUGCAUCAUCACAUACUGAACAAGAAUGUAAAUGGAGGCUUCGUGCUGUAAUUUUGAAAAAACAUGGAUAUUUUCAGAUCAUAAGAUAUGAGGGUUGUCACACUUGUUUGUUUACGAGAUUGAGUCGAGACGACAAACAUGUC
rnacentral:lncRNA from 1 species